ACCAGACCUUAAUCAGAGUGAUGGUGAGCCGUAGUGAGGUGGACAUGUUGGAUAUCAGAGCUGAUUACAGACGCCUCUUCACCAAGUCUCUGCACUCCGCUAUACAGGGUGAUACCUCUGGUGACUACCGUAAAGCCCUCCUCCUGCUCUGUGGCGGUGACGACGCGUAACCGUGGCGAUGAUCCCUGAAGGAGCGAUACCCAGAGAGAACCUCCGCUCUGACUGGCCCCUCUAGCUGUCAAUCACUCUCUGAGUCCUGUGUAA